rnacentral:rRNA from 1 species
GACACUCCCCCGCGAUGCUUUAGAGAUAAAGCGGAGGUAUUCGGGGAGACAGGUGGUGCAUGGUUGUCGUCAGCUCGUGUCGUGAGAUGUUGGGUUAAGUCCCGCAACGAGCGCAACCCCUAUUGCUAGUUACCAUCAUUAAGUUGGGGACUCUAGCGAGACUGCCAGUGAUAAACUGGAGGAAGGUGGGGAUGACGUCAAAUCAUCAUGCCCCUUAUGACCUGGGCUACAAACGUGAUACAAUGGCUGGAACAAAGGGAUGCGAAGCAGUGAUGUGGAGCGAAACCCAUAAAAACAGUCUCAGUUCGGAUUGAAGUCUGCAACUCGACUUCAUGAAGUCGGAAUCGCUAGUAAUCGCGGAUCAGAACGCCGCGGUGAAUACGUUCUCGGGGUUU